rnacentral:lncRNA from 1 species
ACAUCCCGCACCCGAGGUUUCCGCCCCGGCGGGGAGACUAGCGCAGCGCGCACACACAACGUCUCUUAAAGGCUCCGCGAGAGGCUUUGGAUGGAAUCGGGGAGUUUGCCUCUCGCAACUUGGCGAUGUCACGAAUUCCGCCGCUCGCGCACCACCCGGGACUCCUGGCGCAUCUUAGUACCCACAAUGCCAAAGAAAAGUUCCCUGGUUUCUUUGCAGAGGGAUAGGGAGUGAGGGUGGGAAGGUGCCACGAACUGAGCUUGUAGGCAUUUUCCAAACGAAAGAGUUGGCCAGAUCCGGGUGAUGGCAAACCCUUCUCUUAAUUAACUCUGAUCACUUGUUCGGUUUGGUGACAUAUAUAUAUGACAUAUAUUCUUUUCAGAGGAUAAAGGCCGUUCUGUUUCUGUUUAUUCCUUGUAGGGUUAACAUUUCACAGGUAUGUGGCCUGACAUUUUAAUUGCCCAAAUAAAGCAUCUCGGAUGCUGAGAAGCAGAAAUAGACUUCAUCUGAUUGUCAUGAUGCAAUUAGAAUCAAUUUUCCUCAACUUUACCCUCUCUCGCUGGUUUUAGCUAACUCUCCAGCCAACAUCCUGCCACACACCCAGUCAUGGUGAGAGGGGAAAGACCUCUGCCCACUGAUGGACAGGAGGAGGCAGCCGCCCAGCCUCCCCUGUGCACACCCUCUGUACACACAUGUAAGCGCACAUGUAUCAGAUGCACAUUUGUCAAUGUACACAGACAAAGACUUCACCGACUAUGCUUCUAGGUCAUAGAACAGUUGAGUACGGACUUCAUUGUUCCUCAAGUUCCUUUUAAGCAUUCAUAUAGUCAUUAAAACGCACCCAGAGAUUCUGCCCCAAAUGGGAAAUAAUACUAGUACAGGUCACAAGAACCAAACCCAAGCCAUAUUCUACCUCAAGAAGUCACUGCAAAAAGAACAACUUCAUAGCCUAUUGCCAUUCUGCUCCAUGUGCUAAAAUAAUUGAGACAGUUGUGUCUUUGAAUUCCAGGGUGUCUGGUUUUAAACAUCAAACAUGUAGAAUUGCUCUCAGAACACACUAUAUUCCAACGCAGUAAACUUGUUGUUUAUGACCAGUUAGUGAAUUAUCAUUAUUCCACAUUUAUACAAGAAAAUUGUGUCUCCUUUGUACACACUUUGCACCAAGAAAAAACCUCAUGCCGGUAAACCAACCAGGUUUGUGAACAAUUAAAAUAUUUUACACAAAAGACGCUGAGCUCCAGGAAAGAAAUGAACACAUAUGAAGAGUAAAUUGAUGACCACAGAAAACAUCCUUGGUAGCUGAAAAAAAAAUUGACAGGGUAAAGAUAUUUUAAAAAUAAACCAUACAUAUAAUUGACAUGCAUAGAUCACAUUUUACAUUCAAUUCUCUUUACACACAUAGGCAGAAUAUGAGGUAAGGACUAAAGAUCUGGGCAGAUAGGGGCUGGUUUUUAGGAAAGGAAAAAUCUUCUUUAAGCUUCAUUCCCGAAACCUCAGCCCUCACUCUUUCUCCGAUGAAAUCACGUAUUUCACUAAAGCUGCAGGUUCUCGGUUUAUUUGAAAGUUGUUAAAAAAAAAAAAAAAAGCCCAGCAAACCUAUAGUGGACACUGAACUAUCAUAAACCUGGUGUGUAAUAAGAUUGCCACAGAAUGAAGCCAAGCUGAGAAUUUCAGGUUAAUUAGAGACACAAUAUAACUUUCUCCUAAAGAGGAUAAGAAGGAUGGAAAAGAAAUCAUUACACAGGAGAAGGUUUUUGGUAGUUGUUGUUGUUUUCCCUUCCAACCUCUAUGAUUCAGGAAUUGCUAAUGUUACAAAUGUCAGCAGAUUCGGGACAAGCUCAGCUGAGAUGUGAUGAGACUGGGGUUGAGAUAGGAAAUCUAAUGGGCAUUCCCAUCUCAAUAGAGGAUGAAAAUAAUUGAUUAUAGGGAAAUCUUCAUCUCACCUCCUGAAUGAGACUUCCAUAGCAGAUUACCUUUUACAAACAUGGGAAGGAACAAUAUCGAGGAGGAAGAGCUUCCCCAGUCCACUUAGAGAUUUUUGGAAUUUGAAGUAUGCGUGAUGGCCUUAGAUUAAAAUGGAAUAAUUUCCCAACCAUAUCUUAACAAAUUGGAGCCUGCUAGGCAAAUGAUCACAGGGCUGCCAUAAAGUCAGGGGUGUUUCACUCUGUAUUUUAGGACUCAUUCAGUUAUGAAAUGCUGUUACAAGGGAGAAAAAAAAUCACCGUAUGAAUUAUACUUAAUUUUAAUGCAUAGAAGAAGAGACAAGACUACAGACUGAGAAGAAAAAAGGGCAAAAAUAUUUUUAAAUGUCUUCUCCAGAGAUGCUCACUUGCUGUGCGUCUAAGGUUAAAAAGCUCUGAGAAGAUAAAAUCAAUAUAUUAUUGUUGUUUUUUAAAAAUCCAACUCAGUCUUUUUUUGCAGAUGUAAAUUUAUUAUAAUGAGAAGAAUGGCAAGCUUUAAUUUGCCUAGAGAAAGUUGGGACAACAUUUGCCCUAAUCUAAAAAAGAAAAGAAAGAAACUCAACACCCAGGAAUAUAAUUUUCUUGCAGAAAGUGGCCUGAUGGGCUGUAUUUCUUUACAGAUUGAAUCACAAUAUGAAUACAGACCCCAGCAAAUGCCGAGUUUAACUCUGAACUCAGUAGAAACCAGUUCCGUCCUCCAGGAUUCAUUGAAUUCCUCCUUUCCCUCAAUCUAGUCCGUGUGUGUUUUUCUCUUCCACCACACUGGAGCUCCAUGAAUAGGGAAAGGGGCUUCCAUUGUGUCCCUCUGAACUUCCAAGUCAAUGCAAUUUUUAACCACUGGCUUGUGGUACUUUGAAAAUCACCAGGGGCUGUCAGAGUUAGGUCCUCUGAAAAAUUUACAGUGCUAAAUCAGAGCAUAUGCUGGGAGGGAAAAAAUUGCUUAAGAUUAGAGCAAGUACAGUAUCUGUCUGCCCCCUAGUGUAAGAGUCCUCGCUGCCUAAAAUUCAACUUUAAAAGAAAAGGAGCUCUUAAAGGGAAACGACUUUGGACUCACGUAGGCAUAGGAGAACGAAACUUCUGUACAUUUUAAUCUGAAUAAUUCUUCAGGAUUUAAAAUUAAUUGGCUCUGGCUUGGUUGGACCGUACUCGGAUCUCGCCACCUCUGCGUUUCCCGAGUCACUGGCGAAGAGGUCCCAGUUCCUCUGGGAAUCGUCCUGUAUGCAACAUCUUCACAAGAGUGGCAGGCAGUUGAAUCUCUGGCCUUCGUGGGACCACUGGACAUCUGGCAGAGAACCAGGAAACCACGGUUCCCUUCUGUGAGUCCCUCAGCCGGAAAACUACAAGAUGAGUGUAAGGCCAUUAUCAUGGACUUUUUCCCCAGCUGCAGGGUUAUCUACAACUCCGGGUGGAAGUCAAAGAUUGGAAGAGGAUGACCUCUGAUCCUGGAACUGCAUUGCUUGGUGGUCAGGAGGGGUUCUUAGUAAGCAAACUCAGUUUAAUCCCAGAGUCGGAAGUGGGUGUCAACAAGCCAAAGCAACAUCCUUUCAGCUCUGCUGCUUUUUUGUCUUGGUGGAGGAAUAGCCAAUGGAAGAAGAUGGAGAGUCCGGACCAAAAAAAAAAAAAAAAGAUGAGGUAAAGUAGCUACACUUGUGUACAUAAGGAACCAUGUAAAAGUAUGCUAUGUAUGUAUGUAUUUAUUUAUUGUUUUGAGACAGGGUCCUGCUCUGUCACCCGGGCUGGAGUGCAGCGGCAGGAUCUCGGCUCACUGCAACCUUCACCUCCCGGGUUCAGAUGAUCCUCUCACUUCAGCUUCCUGAGUAGCUGGGACUGCAGGAAGGCCCCACCAUGCCUGGCUAAUUUUUGUAUUUUUAGUGGAGACAGGUUGCCAUGUUGCCCAGGAUGGUUUCGAACUUCUGAGUUCAAGUGAUCCUUCCGCCUUGGCUGGCCAAAGUGCUGGGAUUAAAAGUGGGAGCCACCGGGCCCGGCCAUUUUUUUCUAUCCACGUCUUUUUCACUGCUGUGUCUGAGAAAUUUUACACGCUCUCAUAUAUGUAGCUGAAAUGAUGCAGGAGUUCCCCGGCACCAGCCGCUUGGUACUCUCAUUUAUUAAUAUCAAUAAAUCAAUGAAGCCAGGUUGCAAGGCAUUCUUAGGUAUUCAUUCACCAUGCUAGGACCGCAUUGCCUGGAGCUCUUCAGCAGUUUUUCACUGCAAGGCCUUCACACAAGCUAGUCCCUCUUUCUGGAACAUUCCUCUCCACGUUUUGCACGGCCUAUUCCCUCGCCUGGUUCAGAUCUCUUCCCAAUUGUCCUUUCUCCUCCAGCUUUCCUUGAUCCCUUCAUCAUUCUUUCCUCUAUUUGUAUUUAUUUAUUUUUGUUCAUUGUUUUCUUCCCUCCUCUAGAAUGCCCAUUUCAAGAACGAAGGGAAUUUAUUUUGUUUUCCCUGCUGUGCCUCAAUGCCUAGGACAGUGUGAAGAACAUAGAAGGUGCACAACUAAUAAUUUAUUCACUGAAUUAACAGGGCCAGGGUGUUUUUGUUACUUGUUACAGAUGUGUGUGUAACAUUUUCAAAGCCUUGGAAGUUAUUAAAUCACUUUCCCGCAUUUUAUAUGCAAGACUCCUAUUAUUCUUAAUAAGAGUCAGCUGUACAUCUAGACUGCAUUAAAAAAUAAGCAAAACUACAUUUUCCUUGGCCUUGUAAACAAUCCCACAUGGUAUAUGGGCCAAAAAAGGAAAAUUAACAAAAAAGGGAGAAUGUACCAAACCAUAUUCAGUUAGUAAAAGGGGAUGUUUUUCCAUAUUCUUAAAUGAAGAUCUUUUACCCAAUAUAUCCAGUCUCUCAUAAACCAUGAAAUGAAGUGACUGGGUAUCAGAACUAAUUUUCAGAAGAAAAACUGUCAUCUUUAAAGCAGUAAAAUCUUCAUAAAACUGUGUAAACUAAUUACUGGGUUAAGUAAAAUCACUGAAAUAUAUCAGGACCUUCAAAUGUCUCCAGGGCAGACAUAAUAUAGUAAUUCUCUAAUAGUCACUCUGGGGAGAUACUGUAAUGGGCGGGAUGAAGUCAUUGUAAUAUUCUCAUUUAGUUUGGGUCCUGAGACUUAUAAAGAGAAUACCGGUGGCAGACUGCACAUACGGAAGAGAUGCCUAUUUAUUUCACAUGAUACUAGCUGGCCUUUCCAGGCUGUGGAUCAUGAGCUCAGGGGAGCCCAAUGGAGAUGGGCAUACUCAUUUGUUCUGCAGAGAAGAUAUGCCGAAUGUUUCUUCUCAUCCCUCCUCAUCAAAGAGAGUGGAAAAUAUUUUGUGUACAGUAUUUUUUGCUUUAGGUUAUUUAGAAGCCUUAUGUAUAUUAGGUUUUUACAUGUGAGCAAAUAACUAAAAACAAGAGCAGGACCUACCAGAAGCUUCAACAGAACAGACAGACCAUGGAAGACCUCAUGUUCUUUUGAAUUAGUGAAAAGCUAUAUAGUUUAAGUAGGUAUCUUGGUAAUCUAGGAUAAAUCACAAGGAUUGGGUAAACUCAAUGGAAUAUUGAAGGUUUAUUUUAUUAGGUAAUUUUAUAUACAUUUAGGCCACGUGCAGUGGCUCAUGCCUGUAAUCCCAGCACUUUGGGAGGCCAAGGCGAGUGGAUCACUUGAGGUCAGGAGUUUAAGACCAGCCUGGUCCAACAUGGUGAAACGCCAUCUCUAUUAAAACUACAAAAUUUAGCUGGGCAUGAUGGCACUUGCCUGUAGUCCAGCUAUGCUGGAAGCUGAGGCAGGAGAACUGCUUGAACCCAGGAGGCAGAGGUUGCAGUGAGCCAAGAUCACACUACUGCCCUCCAGCCUGGGCUACUGAGUGAGACACCGUCUAAAAAAAAAAAUAUAUAUAUAUAUAUAUAUAUGUAUAUAUAUCUGUAAUGUGACAUUGUUUUCUCAAACCUCAGACUAAUCUUAUGCUCAAUAUGGAAGAUAAUCAUAACUCAUCACUCUGGAUUAUAACUGCUUACAUAUGUCUUUCUUAUGAGAUAAUGCACCUUGAAGACAGGGUCUCACUCUGACUCCUAGGCUGGAGUGCAUCAUGGGGCUCUGCAGCCUCAACCUCCCAGGACCAAGCGGUUCUCCCACCACAGCCCCUCGAGUAGCUGGAACCACAAAUAUUCAUCACCCCACCUGGCUAACUUUUUCGUUUUUAUUUUUUAUAGAGACAAGUUCUCCCUAAGUUGCCUAGGUGAGUCUUGAACUCUUAGGCUGUAGUCAUCCUCUGGCCUUGGGCUCCCAAAGUGCUGAGAUUACAGGUGUGAGCCACUGCACCUGGCAGUUGAAGAUUAUAUGCGGAUCACCUAGGUCAGGAGUUGGAGACCAGCCUGACCAACAUGGUGAAACCCCAGGGGCUUUACUAAAAAUACAAAAAAAAAAAAUAGCUGGGCGUGGUGGUGGGCACCUGUAAUCCCCCCUUCUCGGGGGUCUGAGGCAGGAGAAUCACUUGAACCAGGGAGGCAGAGGUUGCAGUGAGCCAAGAUCACACCACUGCACUCCAGCCUGGGCGACAAGAGCGAGACUCCGUCUCAAAAACAAAACAAAACAAACAAACAAAAAAAAAAAAACAGAAAAAAAAAAGACGGUUAUAAUGGGACCAUAUUUUUACCAUCCCAUUUAUAUGUUUAGGUAUGUUUAGAUACACAAAUACCAUGGUGUGACCAUUGUCUACAUCAUUCAGUACAGAAAUAUUUGUACGGAUCUGUAAUCUGCACAAAUCUGUACAAAUAUUAGCCUGUACAGAUUUGUAGCGUAGAUGCAGUAAGCCAUACCGUGUAGCCUAGGUGUAUUGUAGGCUACGCCAUCUAGGUUUGUGUGACUACACUUUUUUUUUUUUUUUUUGAGAUGGCGUUUUGCUCUUGUUGCCCCCAGGCUGGAGUGCAGUGGCAUGAUCUCGCCUCACCACAACCUCCGCCUCCCAGGUUCAAACAAUUCUCCUGCCUCAGCCUCCUGAGUAGCUGGGAUUAUAGGCAUGUGCCACCAUGCCUGACUAAUUUUGUAUUUUUAGUAGAGACGGGGUUUCUUCAUGUUGAGGCUGGUCUCGAACUUCUGACCUCAGGUGAUCCACCUGCCUCGGCCUCGCAAAGUGCUGGGAUUACAGGCAUGAGCCACCACGCCUGGCCGUAUAGCUACACUUUUUGAUGUUCACACAAUGACAACAAAAUCACAUAACAUUUCAUGUCUCAGAAUGUUUCGCAAUCAUUAAGUGACUCAUGAUUGCACUUAAUCUCUCUGGUCUGUAAAAUAAAGACAACCAGAAGACCUACUCCAAAGGAUUGUUGGGGUGAUAAUAUAAUGCUUAAAAUUAAUACUAUAAAAUAACGUAAUACAAAAUAUUUAUGAUAUUUAUAAAUACAGACAUAAAAAUAUAGUUUUACUUAUGAUAAUAUUUCUUUUUUUUCUUUUUUUGAGACAGAGUCUUGCUGUUACCCCGGCUGGAGUGCAGAGGAGCGAUGUCGGCUCACUGCAACCCCUGCCUCCUGGGCUCAAGUGAUUCUCCUGCCUCAGCCUGCCGGGUAGCUGGGAUUACAGGAGCCCACCACCAUGCCCAGCUAAUAGUUUUUGUAUUUUUAGUAGAGACAGGUUUUCACCUUGUUGGCCAGGCUGGUCUUGAACUCCUGACCUCAAGUAUCCUCCCACCUCGACCUCCCCAAGUGCUAGUAUUACAGGCAUGAGCCACUGUGCCCGGCCUACUUAUUAUGAUACUUCUAAGCGUGAUAAAGCACUUAUACGUCUAGCACACAACAAAUCCUCAAUAAAUGUAAUGUACGAAUGUGGCAGAUUAAGAGAAAAAGCCAAUGAAAUAAAGCUGCAAUACUUGCAUUUAGAAAAUACUAUAGGAAUAGGACAGAAGGCUUGGCUGACUGAAAGGAGGAAUAUAUUAAAGGAAAUGUCUUAAGAGUAGGUGACAUUUGAAUUGGCUAGUGAAAGAGAGAGAGAAUAGCUUGCUAGGGGAAGUAUGAAGAGCAACGUUUUGGACCAUGAAAGGGAAGGAACCAACUGCUUUCUUCCUUCAUUCCUCCCACUGAAGUGUUUUUCUCAGUUUGUCUUAAAUCUCACUUUAUGGGUUCUUCAAACAAUUUGCCCAUUUUUGUGUUUACCUGAGUAUCAGAUCUGUCACGUAGAUUUUCUUUAUGGAGACUCACACAUUUAAAAAAGACUCUCAUAAACAUCAUUGUUUAGUAUUAGUAUAGUUAAUCAUUUUAUACCUUAGGCUUACAAUAUAAUGAUUUUAAGGUUUUACUCAUCCAAAAUCAACUUCUCCAGCCUCCCUUACUAUUAACUCACUCUUUGUAUUUAAUUUAUUAUUCAGUUUUCUAUUUCUUUGGACUGAGUGGGCAUGGGAAAUAGAAUGGGAGAGGAAGCACGUAAUUAGAAAAUAUUGUACAAAGCUGCUGGCUAUUUUAUGUAGAAAAUGAAAUUUGAGACCUCAGGAUGCAAAAUUAAUAUGUAAGAAUUUCAUCACUUUGUUAGAAGAUGCAAUCGGAGUUCAUCCAAUAUACUGUCAGAGACUUGGUGGAUAUUUGUCAAUUUUGUUUGUUAUUCAGGAGGAAUACCUGGAUUUUCUCUGAGGGAGUCAUCCCUGCUUGGUCUCGGUCUACGUGGUUUAUGUGGUGCUUUGCCAAGUCCACUCCCUAUCCACCUUCCAGUCUUAAGCAGGGGGAAUAGCUCAAGCUCAGCCACUCAGGCUUUCCCUUCCGGGAAGCUGAAUUCCGAGUGGUGAGACACAAAAGUGGGAAUAUGCUUGGAACAGAUUCUUCCUGUGAGCAGAACCUUGAAGAGGCUGUUUAUUCAUUCCUGCUACCUGGAGCCCUGAAGCUGUCUGGUUCCCAUCUUUGUUCUGUCACGAUCUGAGCGUCCAGCUUUUGGUUUCUCUGAGCCGCUCCAUAUCCUUCCAAUCAUUUUCCUCUUUUCUUUUGCUUCAUUUAGUCAGAGUUUAACUGAUAGUCUAAGUGAUAGAAUAAAAAUGUGAACACAGAAAAAAAUAUCACUAGAUGACAGCUGGGAUUACUAGACAGCAUUUUCUCACUGGACAUGUGUUUUGAAAGCACAUACCAGCACCAGGCACUGUUCUAGGCACUUGAGUCAGUGACAAACAAAACAAAAUAUUGAGAACAAUAGAUGUGGCUGGGCACGGAUUCACAGGCUCGUGCCUGUAAUCGCAGCAUGUUGGGAGGCCAAGGCGGGGGGAUCGCCUGAGCCCAGGAGUUUGAGAACAAUAGAUGUUCUAACAAAUAUUUGUUGUUGGGCUUUCAGGAGCUAAAUGAAUGGGCUAAUGACAUUUGUUCAACCUUAAGAUAAUUUUUAUAUGACCCUCUGUGAGAGGUUCUAAUAAUUCUUUUUUUAACAAACGAAUAAGAAUAUUAACAACAAUCUAGGUAAAUAUUUCGAAAGAGUUCUUCCUUUGGAAAAAGCAAGCCGAGUGUUGAUUUAAAUUUCUCAAUGAUCAAAGUGUUAAAGUAAUAUGUUUUGAAUAGAGCCAUCUAUAAAACAUACCCAUAUAAACAACAAAACUUGUAAAUGUGUAAUGGGCAAAAGUAAUAAAACUAUUGAAAUAAUGCAUUUUCCUCAUACCAACUCUAUCCAUUAAUUUUUUACAGUUUUCUACCAUGUAACAUUACCCUUCAUAAAAAUGAUAUUUUAAAAUGAGAUGGGGUUGGUAAAAGAAACAAGGGGUAAUAAUGGAAGGAGGAUUGCAAAGCUGUGCUCUGCUGGAUGAGGGAGAAGGGAAAAUAGAAUUCAUUUGGGCUUUCUGUGAGCCAGAGGCCAUGGUCUGUAGCCUUUAAAGGGAUGAGCAAUGCGCAGAGCCAAGGAUUUUUAUAUCUUUAUUUUGAUUAUUUGUUUCUUUUCUCUAAAGAAAUCAAGCACAAGCUAUUUAAAAUAAUGAAAGUCACUUCAAUAUAAUACUUUAUAAGCAAAUUUGUGAAUCUCUCAUGUAUUAAACAUUUAAAAAUUCUUCAUGCAUUCUUGGAUGGGUUGUAUAAAAUCUAAAUGUAAUAUGAUGGUAUUCUUGCAUGAGGCAACUUGGUGCAGUCAGAGGGACAUAGAUUUGGAUUCAGACGGAUCUGAGUUCUAAUCCUGACUCUGCUCUAUUCAAGUUAUUUGACCUCUAUGUAACUAUUUCUUUACCUGAAAAGUAGAGAAUAUAACUCCUAGCAAGUAGUGGGUACUCAAGAUAAGAUGGUUUUCUGGCCAGGUGUGGUGGCUCAUGCCUGUAAUCCUAGCACUUUGGGAGGCUGAGGUGGGUGGAUCACCUGAGGUCAAGAGUUCAAG